UCUCUCGACACUUUCCCUUUCAGACUGACUCACCCUCUCUACUCUCACGUCCCCCAUAUCUCCUCCGUGUGCACCAACACAAUUGCAUGUCGUCGACACUCCGGCGAACCUCACCACCACCAACGACCACCACCACACCUCGCACUUCCCUUUUUCCUCCUGAUCCUAAACUCUCGAUGUUCUUUCCCCCUUUGUGCUCGCUGCACAUGAACACCGAGGAGAACCCAGUGAGUUCAUGGUGUCUCCGACGUUGAACCACAUAUGGGAAGAACUUCCCCAGUUUUCGGCGAUAAACCCGACGGCAUUAAGCCAUUUUUCGGCCACAACAGGACCUCGUGCUGGUACGAUUAGCAUCAGCAAUCCGUAUCUACUCGUCUGAACGACUACGACUUACAAGUAUCUGUGAGUGGGUCUUUUCUUAUAUAUAUAUAUAUAACGAAUUUUCUAGGUGAUGGGUAAUGAAAUUAACAUUUAUACGAAAUGUCGUAAUGAUGAGAAUUAGGAAAUCAUUAUAAAUCCUACGGGAUGACCUUAAUUAGAUUGACGGCUAUGAAUAAUAUUAUGUUGACUCGAAUUAUUGUGGCAUGACUAUAUUUACGUUAUCUGCUCAUCGUGUGCUACACUGGUGUUAGUACUCGCCUGGGCCAGGGCUAGCCUUCAAUUGUAUGUUCACAUCGCACCAUACACUCACUUUGGAUCCAUUGUAGGUGCAAGUCA